rnacentral:lncRNA from 1 species
UUGCCCUGUGUGUUUGUAAAGCGAAAUAGAAGUUGUUAGGUCUUAGAGAUGAUUGAGGCAUUUCUUUGUGUAAGCAUGUUUAAUUGUGAAUCCACCUGUAUAUAUUGCCAUUAGUUAACCCCUUUGAUCCUGAAGCCUGCUCUUUGAUAACCCUAUAAUGAACUAUAUCCCAGUGUUUGAUUAUAUGAUUGUUUGAACCUAUACCUCCUAGAAGCACUAGAAUCACAAAAGAAUAUGAAAAAGUCAAAGUGUGGGGUGAUAGGGAGUUAGCAAAAGAAGGGGAAUCAUGAACAAAUAGUAAUGAGUGCACGAGUUUUGUAGAAAAAAAAAGUGAAACAAAGAAAACAAAACAAAAUAAAGAAAAGAGAAGGAAAAAAACAAGAAGCUCGUGGCACCUAAAGAAAAUGGGGAUUACAUGUGGAACAAAAAUGUGGAGGAAUGAUUGGGCUGAACAUGGAAAAGAAGUAUGUAUUAAAAUUUCUUAGGGAGGUCAGUCACUACAUCUAAACGUAUCCUACCCGUCCCUUAGCCUACAUUACAACCAAAUAAAGACCUCUUGAUCUUUGACUCAAGCAGCUCGAUUAGUAGAGUACUACACUAGGGGCAAGGUUCCUUGUGUUGAAUUUUUAUAUGUGUGUGGAACUUCUCUCAGAAUUUGGUUGUGAGGGCACGUGACUCAGGAAGGAAAAGUAAGUCUUAACCGCAGUUAGAGUAACUAGAGUGAGCUAGAGUGUGUCAUGAAGGUAGAGUCUGCAUCAGGGUAGGAUUGUUGCACUGCUUAGGUUGGUUCGUCAAAGUGGCGGGUGUGGCAUAUCUUUGGGCAAUGCAACAAACAGUUAAGCCUAGAAGUGUGGUUUAGUUUUCUCAAGGACGAGCAAAGGUUUAAGUGUGGGGUGUUGAUAAUAGGUGAAUUUAACUAUAUUCAGGCGCUAAAUAACUACCUUCUUGCAUAGUUUUGAUAAUGAAAGUGAUAACAAAAUGCUCUUAUUAGUGUUUCUCUUGAUGUGCAUGCUAUAUAUGACUAGGGAAGGCUAGGGAGCACUUUUGGAGUCGAAGAUAAAGAAAAAGGGGCCAAUUGUAAAACACCCCAAGUGAACCACGCCAAAAUAAGCUGAAGAAUCAGGGAAAGGAGGCUCCCGCGGUUCCACCGAGAUCGCGGCAAAACCGCAGAAGAAGGCAGAUGCAGAUAAAAUGGGUUUCUGUGGAGGUUUUUGGUCACGGUUCUAUCGCGACCGCAGCAGAACCGCAGUGGGCGUGCUGAUGGCCAGGGGUAAUUAUGUCAAACGUGAAAUUUUA